UACGGAGGGUGCAAGCGUUGUCCGGAAUCAUUGGGCGUAAAGGGCGCGUAGGUGGCCUGCUAAGCGUGCGGUGAAAGUCGGGGGCUCAACCCCCGAUCGGCCGUGCGAACUGGGAGGCUUGAGCACUGUAGAGGCAGGCGGAAUUCCGGGUGUAGCGGUGGAAUGCGUAGAGAUCCGGAAGAACACCGGUGGCGAAGGCGGCCUGCUGGGCAGUUUUGCUGACACUGAGGCGCGACAGCGUGGGGAGCAAACAGGG
rnacentral:rRNA from 1 species